GACGAACGCUGGCGGCGUGCUUAACACAUGCAAGUCGAACGGUGAAGCCUUCGGGUGGAUCAGUGGCGAACGGGUGAGUAACACGUGAGCAAUCUGCCCUUGACUCUGGGAUAACUUCGGGAAACCGGAGCUAAUACCGGAUAUGACAUCUGGCCGCAUGGUCUGGGUGUGGAAAGAUUUAUCGGUCAAGGAUGAGCUCGCGGCCUAUCAGCUUGUUGGNGGGUAAUGGCCCACCAAGGCGACGACGGGUAGCCGGCCUGAGAGGGCGACCGGCCACACUGGGACUGAGACACGGCCCAGACUCCUACGGGAGGCAGCAGUGGGGAAUAUUGCGCAAUGGGCGGAAGCCUGACGCAGCGACGCCGCGUGAGGGAUGAAGGCCUCGGUCGUAACUCUU
rnacentral:rRNA from 1 species